AUUGAACGCUGGCGGCAUGCCUUACACAUGCAAGUCGCACGGUAACGGGCCUUCGGGUGCCGACGAGUGGCGAACGGGUGAGUAAUGUAUCGGAACGUACCUUUCAGUAGGGGAUAACGUAGCGAAAGUUACGCUAAUACCGCAUCUUCUGUGCGCAGUAAAGCAGGGGAUCGCAAGACCUUGCGCUGAUUGAGCGGCCGAUAUCAGAUUAGCUAGUUGGUGAGGUAAAGGCUCACGAAGGCGACGGUCUGUAGCGGGUCUGAGAGGAUGAUCCGCCACACUGGAACUGAGACACGGUCCAGACUCCUACGGGAGGCAGCAGUGGGGAAUUUUGGACAAUGGGGGCAACCCUGAGCCAGCCAUGCCGCGUGAGUGAAGAAGGCCUUCGGGUUGUAAAGCUCUUUCGGCCGGGAAGAAAUCGUAUCAGCUAAUACCUGGUGCGGAUGACGGUACCGGCAUAAGAAGCACCGGCUAACUACGUGCCAGCCGCCGCCGUAAAAC
rnacentral:rRNA from 1 species